CGGCUCACCAAGGCCGUGAUGCAUAGCCGACCUGAGAGGGUGAUCGGCCACAUUGGGACUGAGACACGGCCCAAACUCCUACGGGAGGCAGCAGUAGGGAAUCUUCCGCAAUGGACGCAAGUCUGACGGAGCAACGCCGCGUGAGUGAAGAAGGAUUUCGGUUCGUAAAACUCUGUUGUUAGAGAAGAACAGCGCAUAGAGUAACUGUUAUGCGUGUGACGGUAUCUAACCAGAAAGCCACGGCUAACUACGUGCCAGCAGCCGCGGUAAUACGUAGGUGGCAAGCGUUGUCCGGAUUUAUUGGGCGUAAAGCGAGCGCAGGCGGUCAAUUAAGUCUGAUGUGAAAGCCCCCGGCUCAACCGGGGAGGGUCUAUUGGAAACUGGUUGACUUGAGUGCAGAAGAGGAGAGUGGAAUUCCAUGUGUAGCGGUGAAAUGCGUAGAUAUAUGGAGGAACACCAGUGGCGAAGGCGACUCUCUGGUCCUGUAACUGACGCUGGGGCGUCGAAAGCGUGGGUAGCACACAGGAUUAGAUACCCUGGUAGUCCACGCCGUAAACGAUGAGUGCUAAGUGUUGGAGGGUUUCCGCCCUUCAGUGC
rnacentral:rRNA from 1 species